rnacentral:rRNA from 1 species
UACGAAGGGGGCUAGCGUUGCUCGGAAUCACUGGGCGUAAAGCGCACGUAGGCGGGUCUUUAAGUCAGGGGGGAAAUCCCGGAGCUCAACUCCGGAACUGCCUUUGAUACUGGAGAUCUUGAGUCCGGGAGAGGUGAGUGGAACUCCGAGUGUAGAGGUGAAAUUCGUAGAUAUUCGGAAGAACACCAGUGGCGAAGGCGGCUCACUGGCCCGGUACUGACGCUGAGGUGCGAAAGCGUGGGGAGCAAACGGG